rnacentral:snRNA from 1 species
AUACUCUGGUUUCUCUUCAGAUCGUAUAAAUCUUUCGCCUUUUACUAAAGAUUUCCGUGGAGAGGAACAACUCUGAGUCUUAAACNNN